UGUUUCCUUUGUGUCUUGUGGGAUCAUUUUGUUCUGUCUGUGUGCCUCAUGGGUUUAUGUACAGUGGUGACAAGCGUUUGCUCUGAGUUUUUUUUGUGUUUUCUGGAGUGAUGUACUGUGUGUUCCUGCUCAUUCCUGCUUUCCUGGCUUCCAGCCCUGCGUACUAUUGGAACUACUUUGGAAAGUCUGGUUGGAACACCAGCGGUCACCAAAUGUCCAUCCUGUGAAGAGAUCGUCUUCACAGAAACCAGCUGCAGAGUGGGCGAGGCUACAUGGAUACUUUGUUACUUGUGCUCCAUAAUGGGGUGUGUCGCAGGCUGCUGUUUAAUCCCUUUCUUCAUGAGCCGCCUGAAGGACGUCCACCACCAGUGUCCCCAUUGCCAGGCAAAAAUACACACCUACCAGCCAUUUUGACAUGGAGGUUACUAUAUUAACAGCACUGGUGUGAUUUGUUCAGAAUGAUCCGAUGCGUCUGUGCUUGAGUGACCACUUCCUGAAGACUUGGAGCUGUCUGGGACUCGGCCUCUGCCGUUUGACUCCACAACUGAUCGUGGCAAUGUGCCUGGAGUCAAAUACAGUGCUGGUACAAACUGUAAAAAGGCUCAGACAACUUAAGGCAAACCUAGUGUUCUUUACUGUAAGUGAAAGUCAAUCAAUACUUUAAUGAUGUCUAGACUAGUUAAUGUGUCAGAUACUAAUAACUUUACACAAACUGACGCCUAUAUUUAAAAGGAUCAAUGCCCCGUUUUGCUGAUAUUAGGAUACAGCUUUGUGGUUUGUCUGUCAACACUCUAAUGAGCUUCGUGACCACUUUCUUUGGUAUAAGGAAAGUAUAUCUGGAAAUAUCUGUUAUCUCAGAGGAAAAUGGAAAUUCAUUGCUGAAAAUAUGCAAACACGAACCUGUAACCUGACAAAGAACUGUUUUCAUACACGGUCAGCCAUAACACAAUUAAAAUGUAGCACCUUG